CAGCCGCCGCGGGAAUACGGAGGGUGCAAGCGUUAAUCGGAAUUACUGGGCGUAAAGCGCACGCAGGCGGUCUGUCAAGUCGGAUGUGAAAUCCCCGGGCUCAACCUGGGAACUGCAUUCGAAACUGGCAGGCUAGAGUCUUGUAGAGGGGGGUAGAAUUCCAGGUGUAGCGGUGAAAUGCGUAGAGAUCUGGAGGAAUACCGGUGGCGAAGGCGGCCCCCUGGACAAAGACUGACGCUCAGGUGCGAAAGCGUGGGGAGCAAACAGGAUUAGAUACCCCUGUAGUCCCUGUCUCUUAUAA
rnacentral:rRNA from 1 species